GAUGAAGAACGCAGUGAAAUGCGAUAAGUAAUGUGAAUUGCAGAAUUCAGUGAAUCAUCGAAUCUUUGAACGCACAUUGCGCCCGCCAGUAUUCUGGCGGGCAUGCCUGUUCGAGCGUCAUUACAACCCUCAGGCCCCCGGGCCUGGCGUUGGGGAUCGGCGGAGCCCCCCGUGGGCACACGCCGUCCCCCAAAUGCAGUGGCGGUCCCGCCGCAGCUUCCAUCGCGUGGUAGCUAACACCUCGCGACUGGAGAGCGGCGCGGCCACGCCGUAAAACACCCAACUCUUCUGAAGUUGACCUCGAAUCAGGUAGGAAUACCCGCUGAACUUAAGCAUAUCAAUAAGCGGAGGA
rnacentral:misc_RNA from 1 species